rnacentral:rRNA from 1 species
GACAGAGGAUGCAAGCGUUAUCCGGAAUGAUUGGGCGUAAAGCGUCUGUAGGUGGCUUUUUAAGUCCGCCGUCAAAUCCCAGGGCUCAACCCUGGACAGGCGGUGGAAACUACCAAGCUGGAGUACGGUAGGGGCAGAGGGAAUUUCCGGUGGAGCGGUGAAAUGCGUAGAGAUCGGAAAGAACACCAGUGGCGAAGGCGCUCUACUAGGCCGACACUGACACUGAGAGACGAAAGCUAGGGGAGCGAAUGGG